rnacentral:rRNA from 1 species
CCCUUAGAGUUUGAUCCUGGCUCAGAAUCAACGCUGGCGGCGUGCCUAACACAUGCAAGUCGAACGCGAAAGCCCCGCAAGGGGUAAGUAGAGUGGCAAACGGGUGAGUAACACGUGGGUGACCUGCCUUCGAGUGGGGGAUAACGUCCCGAAAGGGACGCUAAUACCGCAUGACAUCCUGCUUUUGGAAAAGCGGAGAUCAAAGCCGGGGAUCGCAAGACCUGGCGCUUGAAGAGGGGCCCGCGCCUGAUUAGCUAGUUGGUGGGGUAACGGCCUACCAAGGCAACGAUCAGUAUCCGGCCUGAGAGGGCGGACGGACACACUGGGACUGAGACACGGCCCAGACUCCUACGGGAGGCAGCAGUGGGGAAUUGUUCGCAAUGGGCGCAAGCCUGACGACGCAACGCCGCGUGGAGGACGAAGAUCUUCGGGUCGUAAACUCCUGUCGAGCGGGAAGAACGCUUCCCGGGUAAAUAUCCCGGGGAAUUGACGGUACCGCUAAAGGAAGCCCCGGCUAACUCCGUGCCAGCAGCCGCGGUAAUACGGGGGGGGCAAGCGUUGUUCGGAAUUACUGGGCGUAAAGGGCUCGUAGGCGGCCAACUAAGUCGGAUGUGAAAUCCCCAGGCUUAACCUGGGAACUGCAUCCGAUACUGGAUGGCUUGAAUUCGGGAGAGGGAUGCAGAAUUCCAGGUGUAGCGGUGAAAUGCGUAGAUAUCUGGAGGAAUACCGGUGG